AGGAUCAUUAUCGAUUCGUAACACCUAAAUCACUGGUGCACUCGGUCGCUGCAUGGCAGCUCCUUUCGGGGUUGGCCGCAAGGUCAUUAAAUCGGGACGCACGGCCUCUAAGGCCGUGUUAGUUUCGGGCCCCGAUUGGAGUGUGCGUGCAGCGGUUUUUCACGGCCGUGCCUCGUGCGCGGCGUUCGUGAACCUUUCAACCAAGCAAAUUUGCAGACUGUACUGUUGGUCAAGCUUGUCUUGAUACUUCAAUCAUGGACAACUUUCAACGGUGGAUCUCUUGGCUCGUGGAUCGAUGAAGAACGCAGCAAAACGCGAUAUGUAGUGUGAAUUGCAGAAUUCAGUGAAUCAUCGAAUCUUUGAACGCAAAUGGCGCCCCUGGGUAUUCCCAGGAGCAUGUCUGUCUCAGCGUCGUUUUCACCUCGAGCACGCUUCGGCGUGGUGGUCUUGAGGCGUCUGGGCGCGCUCAGCUCCCAGUCCCUUGAAAUUCAGUGGCCGGACAGUGUGUGCUCUCGGGUCGGUUCGCCCCGAACUCGCUCGCACGGCUGAUGGUGAGAUUUCUUUUAAUCUCCCUUGUCGUGUCGCAGCGGACCGUGGGUGGAGCCUGAUUCCGAAACGGCCCUUUGUCCGAAUCAAGCCAGUUCUGGAAAACGAUAUCAAGUUUUUUGGUUCGCCGAAAAACAUCUUCGACCUGAGAUCAGGCAAGACUACCCGCUGAAUUUAAGCAUAUUAAUAAGCG
rnacentral:rRNA from 1 species